rnacentral:rRNA from 1 species
UAGCUAGUUGGUGGGGUAACGGCCUACCAAGGCGACGAUCAGUAGCCGGUCUGAGAGGAUGAACGGCCACAUUGGAACUGAGACACGGUCCAGACUCCUACGGGAGGCAGCAGUGGGGAAUCUUCCGCAAUGGGCGCAAGCCUGACGGAGCAACGCCGCGUGAGUGAAGAAGGGUUUCGACUCGUAAAGCUCUGUUGUCGGGGACGAAUGUGGAGAUGGUGAAUAACCAUUUUCAAUGACGGUACCUGACGAGGAAGCCACGGCUAACUACGUGCCAGCAGCCGCGGUAAUACGUAGGUGGCGAGCGUUGUCCGGAAUUAUUGGGCGUAAAGGGAGCGCAGGCGGGAAGGUAAGUCUAUCUUAAAAGUGCGGGGCUCAACCCCGUGAGGGGAUGGAAACUAUCUUUCUUGAGUGCAGGAGAGGAAAGCGGAAUUCCUAGUGUAGCGGUGAAAUGCGUAGAUAUUAGGAGGAACACCAGUGGCGAAGGCGGCUUUCUGGACUGUAACUGACGCUGAGGCUCGAAAGCGUGGGGAGCGAACAGGAUUAGAUACCCUGGUAGUCCACGCCGUAAACGAUGAAUGCUAGGUGUAGGAGGUAUCGACCCCUCCUGUGCCGGAGUUAACGCAAUAAGCAUUCCGCCUGGGGAGUAC